rnacentral:lncRNA from 1 species
GGAGGGGGGGCGGGGCCGGACGCGAGCGCGCGGAGGCGGGGAGGGCGGGCGGCCGCCGCGGGGCAUUGUGGGUGGCUCCCUGUAGCCGGCCGAGCGAGGGGCAGCAAAGAUUGCCGGAGCGAGACAAUGAGCCGUUCUCCAACCCUCUGGCCCCGGAUGGCCACGAGGUGGGACGGAUCCCCACUCCUUUCCACCAUUCGAAGCUGACAAAUGAAGACUUCCGGAAGCUUCUUGAUGACUCCCCGGGCCACUCCCACGUCGGCACACCCCUUCAAAUCUCGCCACCAUGAGUACGUAACUGGAGGGCGGCUUUCCCCGU